UCGCCGCCUCUCUGCACCCCGCGCAUAGCCGCUCGGCGCCUUUCCUUCUGCGACCCAGCUCCCUUGCCGUCGCCGCCUCUGGAGAAAGAUGGGCGCAGAGAUGGGGGAGAGCAAGAAUCCGGCGGAGGAGGGCAAGAUUCCGGCGGAGGAGGGCAAGAAUCCGGCGGUGGAGGGCAGGACUCCGGCGGAGGAGGGCAAGAGUCCGACGAAGGAGGGAACGAAUCUAGCAAAGGAGGAGGUGCACAAGAAUCCUUCAGAGCAAGUGGACAAGAAUCCGGCGGGACAGAGUGCCUCCAGAACCUUGGUGAAGAGGCCUGCCCUUUUGGUCUAGCCGAUGUUAAUUCCAUUCCUAGAUCAUGGGGUAUGGUGGAGAAGAUAUCAAAAAUGCAGAGAGAGUAAUAGUUGAAGCUGAAGGUGCAUCUGAAAAGUAUCCGUGAAGAUAGUUUUCACAUCUAUCAUGUUGACCUGGAUGAAAGCUCUCCUCUGCAUUUGCAAUCUGUGCUACUGUUAUGGUCGGUUUGACCUAUACACGCAGGAAGCCCACUAGUGGCUAGUUAUGGGCUUAGCCCAAGUAAAUUAGGGGCUUAGCCCAAGUAAAUUAGGGUUUAGAGGAGGCCGUCCUCCUAUAUAAACACUUGUAUCCCUUCGAGAUUAAUGAGACAAUAUUCAGUAUCAUUACUGUCUU